AAUUUGAAUAUAAGUAGUCAUUGGACAAUUGGAGAUAUAGAUCAUUUAUCAACCAAUUUAUCUUUCAAACUUUUCUAAGUUAGUUAAUUAUUUUCGAUUUGAAAAAGUCUAUUGACAGACCCAAUAUUUAAAAUUUAAUUUUAAAUUUUGAAUUAAAACAUAGAUUCACGUUGGAAAUUAUGAACCAAACUUAAAAUUUCUAGUCGUUGUGAAAGGCUAAAUCAUUCUAUACACUACAACAAAAACGGUCUAUAGCGACACUUUUUAAAUGUCGGUACAGGUCAAAAAAAGUGCUGCAGGCUAAAUUAUCGACACUUUUAAAAAGUGUUGCUAUAUGUGGAGUCGCUAGGUAUAUAGUGACAGAUAAAGAGUGUCGCUAUAACCUAAAAGAGUGCUCUUAAUUUACCAACACUUAUUUAAGCAUUUAGCAAUCGCUGAAACUCUACCUCGUUGGCUGCGGUGGCGGAGGAGGACGAGAGGAAGGGAUCUUCGUAUAGGAUUUCAGUAGAUUGAGUGAGGAAAGAAGAGAAGAUGGUAAUCAAUUUUUCUUUUCGUUUUUUUUCUUUUCUGUUUUUAAUCGGGCCGAAUGGGCUGGGUGGGGUGGGUUGAGUAGAGUAACCUUUUAUUUUUGCUUGAAUUGGGCUUUAUAUUUAGGCAUUAGUAGAUUUAUUUUUAAGUUUUGGCAUAAAUGGGGCACUUACACAAAAGUGUCCCAAACAUGUGUCCCUAUAACCUAAUUCUGUUGUAGUGAUUUUUCAAACUUGAUUUAUUUUUAGUUAAUUACUUUUAGA
rnacentral:lncRNA from 1 species